AGCCUGUGUCUGACAUACAGCAGCUGGGUCUCUGGUGAGGCUCGUGCUCCAGCUGGGAAGGAGCAAACACCAGGCUCUCUAGGAAGCACAACCUCAGAGCUGCAGCUAUUUCUCAGCAGUGAUUAUUUCCUGCAGCUAGGUGGUUUUAGCUUAACAAGCAGUGCAGUCGGUUAUCAGUUGCAGCUUGGAGACAAUGUGCUGCAAAUUCCAGUGCCUCCUUCUAGAAUUCAUCUUCCUCUGAAUUCAGUAACUCACAAAAGAUGAGAGCUACAUAAGAAAGAACUGUUAUACAGGUUCUUUGUUAGCAGCCUUCUGAUGUCAUGACCUGGAGCAGCCAGGCAACAGCAGGGCUGUGUGUGCAGGCUGAAGGAGAAGCCCACACAGGAGGGACUACAUCCUAAAUAGCUGAGAACUCAGAAGAGCCUAACUCUGCCAGUACCAGCAUACUGUCAAAUUUCAAGGCCAAUGGUUUUAUAAGUUCAAACUAUUCAGAUAAUUCCCCAGUUUGGCCACAGCCUUUCCACAAGGUGAACUCAGCUAAAAAGCACUGCCAGAACUAAGCAUGGACCCUUUCAAGAAAGAGGACCUCUGCUUCUUUAAGACAUUUAAGCUCCUGUGGUCUUAAAGAAAUAACAUUCUGUUUCUAAAACUGCCACUGCUGCACAUGGCCCACAACUUCGGUCAUAAGCGGAAUAGUUUCCGUUAAAAGUUCGCUGGAGAGAAAACAACUUUUUACUUGUCAGAAAUGAGUCAAAAUGCCAACUGCUUAGCUUCUAAGAUCCAGAAAAUGCAGACAUCUUAAAUAAUUUUCCUCAAAUGUUCCUAAAUUAUCUAAAUAUGAAAGGGAACAAAUACUCAAAAGGGGUCCAAUGAAAAUAUGCCUCUUGUUGCAAAAUAAUAAUAUUGUUUUAGUAGCAUAGUACUAUAAAAAUAUAAAAAUUCAGACUAAUAUGUUUGCUAUAAGCAAUGAAAAAGUCAGUUACUGGAGUAAUCAAGGUCUAUUUUUUAAAGAGAUUAUUUACUUUAUGCAAGAUUUUAUACCUCCAGACUGUAAUUAUACAAUGAUAGUAACUAUAAACUUUUUAAAACCGUUUGAAUAUAUUGUCAUUGAAUAUUUUACUUAAAGAUGACUAAUAAGAAAAUAAAUGCAUGAUGAUAAAAUGUCAUUUCUCCUCUGUAUAUAGUACAAUAUUAAGUAAAAUAACACAAAUAAGUAGAUUACUCGGGCAAAAUAAAAUGUCUGUAGAAAAAUAUAGGCACUGAAUAUUGUUAUUAUAUGCGUACGUUAUGAGAUACCUGAAUAUCUUUGGUUUACCUAAUAUCAAGGUAUUCAGAAUUCUGCAGAAGCCUAAUGCACAUUCCUAUUAAACUGGCAGUAAUGUUAUCAAAUAUGAAUGUUCCUAUGGCCCAAAUGAAUAUUUUUGUUUUGCAGUGUGUUUUGCUUGCUAAAAAUAAGUGAAAAUAAAACACCACAAAUAAUUGA